rnacentral:rRNA from 1 species
AAUAUUGGGCAAUGGAGGAAACUCUGACCCAGCGACGCCGCGUGCGGGAUGAAGGCCUUCGGGUUGUAAACCGCUUUCAGUAGGGAAGAAGCGAAAGUGACGGUACCUACAAAAGAAGCACCGGCUAACUAUGUGCCAGCAGCCGCGGUAAUACAUAGGGUGCAAGCGUUGUCCGGAAUUAUUGGGCGUAAAGAGCUCGUAGGUCGUUUGUUACGUCGGAUGUGAAAACCUGAGGCUCAACCUCAGGCCUGCAUUCGAUACGGGCAAACUAGAGUUUGGUAGGGGAGACUGGAAUUCCUGGUGUAGCGGUGGAAUGCGCAGAUAUCAGGAGGAACACCAAUGGCGAAGGCAGGUCUCUGGGCCAAUACUGACACUGAGGAGCGAAAGUCUGGGGAGCGAACAGGAUUAGAUACCCUGGUAGUCCAGACCGUAAACGGUGGGCACUAGUUGUGGGAACCUUCCACGGUUUCUGCGACGCAGCUAACGCAUUAAGUGCCCCGCCUGGGGAGUACGAUCGCAAGAUUAAAACUCAAAGGAAUUGACGGGGCCCCGCACAAGCAGCGGAGCAUGCGGCUUAAUUCGACGCAACGCGAAGAACCUUACCAAGGCUUGACAUAUAGGGAAAAGUGGCAGAGAUGUCAUGUCCGCAAGGGCUCUAUACAGGUGGUGCAUGGUUGUCGUCAGCUCGUGUCGUGAGAUGUUGGGUUAAGUCCCGCAACGAGCGCAACCCUCGUUCUGUGUUGCCAGCAUUUAGUUGGGGACUCACAGGAGACUGCCGGGGUUAACUCGGAGGAAGGUGGGGAUGACGUCAAAUCAUCAUGCCCCUUAUGUCUUGGGCUGCACGCAUGCUACAAUGGCCGGUACAGAGGGCUGCAAUACCGUAAGGUGGAGCGAAUCCCAAAAAGCCGGUCUCAGUUCGGAUUGAGGUCUGCAACUCGACCUCAUGAAGUUGGAGUUGCUAGUAAUCGUAGAUCAGCAACGCUACGGUGAAUACGUUCCCGGGGCUUGUACACACCGCCCGUCACGUCACGAAAGUCGGUAACACCCAAAGUCAGUGGCCCAACCGCAAGGGGGGAGCUGCCUAAGGUGGGAUCGGUGAUUGGGACGAAGUCGUAACAAGGUAGGCGUACCGGAAGGUGCGGCUG